GUGACGAAACCAUAGCGUGAUGGGUUAUUUUUGGAUGUUGUGUAUAAAUGACAAGAGAAAAGGUGUCCAGCUAACAUUAACUUUUUGACUCUAUCAGGAUCUUUAUCAUAGAAUAUCUAGGAGUUAACAUGUUAUGGAAUGCAUAUAAUCAAGUCUUAUGGAAGUUAAAAAGAGUAAGAACUCCAAUUGCCUAAAGAGGAGAAACAGUUGCUUCCAUUAGAAU